rnacentral:lncRNA from 1 species
GCCGCUUUCGCUGAUUGGCUCUUAGCAGGGAUGCCAGAUGCGGACGUUUUUAAUUGCAAAACAGAAAAUGGCAAUGUUGCGCUUUGUGCGUUACUUUCAACGCUUUCAAGAAUCAAGAUGGCUGCUGACAGUCUGACAGCCUCGGCGACUUAAGUCAACUCAACUUAUUUUCCCUGACAUUACUUGUCAUAAAAAAUAAUAACAUAGCUUAAAAUUUAUUUUUGGCAAUUCCAUCUGAUCAUGUGGCCUGAAACUGCUGUAUAUUUUCCCAAAAUGUUGUCUCAUGCUGCACGUCCCGGCUGUGCGUUUCGUCACUUGUAGAAAACUUCACAACAGUAAAAGUGAUCAUGUUAGUCAAACCCCAAGCAUGGUGAAGUCUGAGCAGAGCCUCUGAGCUUCUUCUUUGCAGUCAAAUGUGCUGUGCAUUGUGAUUUGUUGCAGCCAGCUGGUGAAAGGUGUUCCUCUUGCAGGCUUGCUACCUGUACUGUUUGUAGCUUUGGUCACAUUCAUAAACACUUCCGAACAAUUUAAAUAGGAUUAGCAGCCUCUUGGGGUUGAGCCUUUUUUGCAGUCCAAUGUGUACAUGAAUUUUGUGCAGCCAGCUAGUGAAUGGUGUGGUGAGCUGUUCCAUGCAGACUGUGGUGCUGGUGUCGUUCGUUCAUUUAACUAUGGACCGUUCAGUCGUUCGUUUAUCAUUUCCAUGGUCAGUUUUAUGUUUGAGCUGUUUAUGGUGUUGCUGUAUGGGGUACUGUGGUUUUGCAGACCUUUUCCAGUUGAGAGAUGCGCUGAAAUGGAGCUUGUGCAGAUUUGCAGUUGAACAUCAUACUUUAAUGAGUCAUUUGCCUAUGUUUGUGUCCAUGCAGUAUAUGCAGCGUUAUGAAAAAUAGUCGAUUUUGCCUGAUGGCUGUCGGGCUUAUUUUAUCGGCAGCAUUUGGUCGAUAUGUCGUCUCUUGCUAGUUGCUACCUACCGCCGUUGAGUUGAUUCAUUAGCCGCCGUAACUUAGACUUGAUCGACCAGUGAAACUCAGAAGACGUUGCUGAAAUUCAAGAUUGAUCAAUAAAUUAUAUAGAUAAAUUA